AUUGAACGCUGGCGGCAGGCCUAAUACAUGCAAGUCGAGCGGAUGAAGGGAGCUUGCUCCUGGAUUCAGCGGCGGACGGGUGAGUAAUGCCUAGGAAUCUGCCUGGUAGUGGGGGAUAACGUCCGGAAACGGGCGCUAAUACCGCAUACGUCCUGAGGGAGAAAGUGGGGGAUCUUCGGACCUCACGCUAUCAGAUGAGCCUAGGUCGGAUUAGCUAGUUGGUGGGGUAAAGGCCUACCGAGGCGACGAUCCGUAACUGGUCUGAGAGGAUGAUCAGUCACACUGGAACUGAGACACGGUCCAGACUCCUACGGGAGGCAGCAGUGGGGAAUAUUGGACAAUGGGCGAAAGCCUGAUCCAGCCAUGCCGCGUGUGUGAAGAAGGUCUUCGGAUUGGAAAGCACUUUAAGUUGGGAGGAAGGGCAGUAAGUUAAUACCUUGCUGUUUUGACGUUACCAACAGAAUAAGCACCGGCUAACUUCGUG
rnacentral:rRNA from 1 species